CUCAUUGGUAAACCGUACAAUCGAAAAUGCGAUGUAUACAGUUUCGGUAUUUGUUUGUGGGAGAUUUAUUGUUGUGACAUGCCGUAUCAUGAUCUCAGCUUCUCGGAAUUGACUUCGGCUGUCGUGCACCAGAAUCUGAGGCCAGAGAUACCACGGUGUUGCCCAAGCUCGUUGGGGAAUGUAAUGAGAAGAUGUUGGGAUGCGAAUAGUGAAAGAAGGCCCCAAAUGGAUGAAGUGGUUUCCAUGUUGCAAGCUAUAGAUACAUCAAGGGGAGGUGGUAUGAUUCCUCUCGGUCAAUCCCAUUCUUCGUGUUUUUGCUUCCUCAAGAAUCGAGGCCCGUGACAAAUACGAGGUGGUAUGAUUCCUCUUGAUCAAUCCCAUUCUUCGUGUUUUUGCUUCCUCAAGAAUCGAGGCCCGUGACACAAAUACUCUAAAAGAAUUUUUGUUUAUUUGUCUUUUGAUAUUUGAAAUAAUUUGAACUGCAGCAGUCAAAUAAUGUGCGUGAAAGGGUUUUUCUUAGAGAAUAAUUUGGCAAAUAAAAUGUUUGUUUGUUUGUGUACUUGAUGUUAACGUUUAUCAAUGUACCAAUCAAAUCAAAUUAUGUUUGUUUGAUUAACUUUCUCCCAAAGAUUUUGCAAUAUAAUUCGAUGCAGAGCAAGAAGAAUCCGAGAAGCGUACCAAACAAACCGAAUAAUUAUAUUGUAAGACUUUCACACUUAAAAAAAUUGUUUUAUUACAGAGGAGGAUUUGCAGUCUUCCCUCAAAUUCGAAUGCCUCAACAAUUUUCGACAAUUUUCGAUUUGUGAUACAA